rnacentral:lncRNA from 1 species
GUUAAGUGAGGCCGCGGUCUGGUUGGAUUGAGGAAUCCAGGAUCGGGUCUUACACUGCAUGACUGGAGCUCAUGCAAGGCGCCACACAUCCUCACACAUGUCGAUCAGCAUGCUUCGAUUGCAUGCAUCGCGACAUCUCGUGCUUGGCCGAUCCACCUCGUGCUCCACAUGGCUGGCUGCAUGUACAGGGCACAUGCAGGACGCCACCACUCCUCCCAGAUGUCAGGCUGCAUGACUGGAACUCAUGCAAGGCGCCACAGCAUCACACACAUGGCUGGCCGCAUGCUUCAGUUGCAUGCGCGGAGACACCUCGUGCUUGGUCGAUCCAC